rnacentral:rRNA from 1 species
CCUACGGGUGGCAGCAGUCGAGAAUCAUUCACAAUGGGGGAAACCCUGAUGGUGCGACGCCGCGUGGGGGAAUGAAGGUCUUCGGAUUGUAAACCCCUGUCAUGUGGGAGCAAAUUAAAAAGAUAGUACCACAAGAGGAAGAGACGGCUAACUCUGUGCCAGCAGCCGCGGUAAUACAGAGGUCCCAAGCGUUGUUCGGAAUCACUGGGCGUAAAGGGUGCGUAGGCUGUUUCGUAAGUCGUGUGUGAAAGGCGCGGGCUCAACCCGCGGACGGCACAUGAUACUGGGGGACUAGAGUAAUGGAGGGGGAAGCGGAAUUCUCGGUGUAGCAGUGAAAUGCGUAGAUAUCGAGAGGAACACUCGUGGCGAAGGCGGGUUCCUGGACAUUAACUGACGCUGAGGCACGAAGGCCAGGGGAGCGAAAGGGAUUAGAUACCCCGGUAGUC